AUUGAACGCUGGCGGCAUGCCUUACACAUGCAAGUCGAACGGCAGCGGGCCUUCGGGUGCCGGCGAGUGGCGAACGGGUGAGUAAUGCAUCGGAACGUGCCAUUGAGUGGGGGAUAACGUAGCGAAAGUUGCGCUAAUACCGCAUAUUCUGUGAGCAGGAAAGCAGGGGACCGCAAGGCCUUGCGCUCUUUGAGCGGCCGAUGUCAGAUUAGCUAGUUGGUGAGGUAAAGGCUUUACCAAGGCGACGAUCUGUAGCGGGUCUGAGAGGAUGAUCCACCACACUGGAACUGAGACACGGUCCGGACUCCCUACGGGAAGGCAGCAGUGGGAAUUUUGGACAAUGGGGGCAACCC
rnacentral:rRNA from 1 species